CUGAGAGCCCCAUUCUCUCUCCCGAAGCCAUUCCCCAUUUCUCUGUCCCAGCAACACUAGGGUUUCGUCGGCUCCGUCGAUUUCAUUGGCAGCGGCGGGGGUGUGCGAGGGAGCAGGCGCUAUGUUCGUCGGCGGAUCGGAGCGCGUGUGCGUGCUGGAGGGAGAUGUGCUCGCCAGCGAUGGGCGGGUAGCACGAUAGUGCGGCGAAAUCUGUCGUCGAGGAGAGAGACGACCGGUUGUGCAGCUAGCUCUGCGUCGACGAGCGAGACGAAUCGGUCGUGCGGUGAGCUCUGCGUCGAUGAGCGAGAGGACCGCGCUGGCCGGGACCGACAUGGCGUAGAUCAAGCGGUCCGCGACGGGGCGUUCAGAGACGAGGAUUUGCGACACAGGAGGAGAUCAUGUGUUGUUUUGUGAUCGACUCGCAGUUUUCGGUUAACUCCAGAUUCCAUUCCAUAGAGUUCUAGAGGAGGAAGAAGACCUGCAGUAGUUCGUCUUGCACAAAGGAAGAAGCCCUGAAAGUAGUUUGUCUUGAAGAAAUAAAGAAGAGCCGGAGUAGUUUGCCAAGAUUUGCAUCUCACGCUCUGUUUUGUGCUAUUUUUUAACCUUACGUGUAGCCUCAUUCUUUCUUGGUUGGAUGCUGAUGUGUUUACUUUGUAAUCUACUCGCAGUUUUCGGUUAAAUCCAGAUUUCACGGAGUUCUAGAGGAGGAAGAAGACCAGGAGUAGUUCGUCUUGCAUAAAGGAAGAAGCCCAAGAAGUAGUUAGUCUUGAAGAAAGAAAGAAGAGCUGGAGUAGUUUGCCAAAUUUUGUAUUUCACGCUUUGUUUUGUGCUGUUUUAACCUUACGUGUAGCCUCACUCUUUCUUGGUUGGAUGCUGAAUCGGUCAAACCAGCAUCUGGAUGCUGGGUUAAACAAACCAGCACCCGGAUGCUGGGAUGGACAAACCAGCACCGGAUGCUGGCUAGCCACGUCCUAACAGAAAAACCAAGAGGUAGAAAUAGAAAGCCAACUAUUAAUACAUCA